GUAACUGCCCCCUGUGCAGAGUGCUAGAAACCACGUAGCUCCUGUUUGGAGGAGUUCGGUUGUGCCUACGCCUUGCGAUGUCUUGCUGCACGGCGGGGAACGUCGCCCUGCGAGUGUUAGAGGAAAGGUGUUUGUGGAAUCGUGGAGAAUGAACAGGCUCGGCAGCGUUCGAUUUUAAUCCACAACUGACCAGCUUGUCCUUGUAUUUUAAUUAAAAGCCAUGUCAGGCUAUGGGAUCACAGACUGAAAGUGUUAAAAGCGGUCGUGGAGUCGAGGGUAAAUGUUACCGCUUCUCACCUGGGGAAUACAGAGUUUACCUCCAUGCCUGCCUGGCCUGGAACAGCAGAAAGAUGACAGUAGCUCAGCAUGGACGGAGAACACGAAGGGCCUGAUCCAUCUAUGCCCUGCACUGUGGGCCCGAUUUUUCAUUGCCUGCACCUUUAGCAGUCAUUUACACUAGUGCGAAGUGGGAGCAUUCUGCUCUGGAUUCUGCACAAGCUAUAGGACAAUGAUCAACCGGUCCCCAGGCAUGCAUCUAAAAUACCCCCUCCUUAACAGCUACGUUGGGCACGGGGAGGAAAAUGUGUGGGCAGAACUCCCCACGAUCACAAUAGUGGGGUACACACAUUCAAUACCCCUCUGACCUGACCCACAAUUCUGGCUGAAGCCAUAUCCCAGAGCAAUGAGAUGGGGCUAGGAACAUGUGAACCAGUUUUUGCAGUGAUGGCCUGUUAUGUCAGUCUCACAUGCCUCACCCCCACUGCGGAGCUGGAGUGCCCUUUGAAAAGUGGCAGGCUGUGCCAGCUCCUUACCGGGGUCUGCAAGGCACAUCCACAAAGGAUCAAUGAGUCAUUUAAAUGCCAGGUCAAGAGCUCUCCACUGAGAACAUUAUUCUCUCUGCUGGGAUUUUUUGCAGCAGUUAAAGCAGGGAGGCCUCAUCAAGCCAAACCCCCAUGAGUCCACGGAGCCCUGAACCACUUAUCCCAAAACUCCCUCGUCCAAAGCUCCAGUGGUUGGAAUGAGCGAGAUCCAGACUGGAAGCAGUGCAAGAAACGAGAGUUUUUCAGCAUCCAAACUGGCCUGGCUGCAGUGAGACCGAGGGUGCAGUUAGCAAGUGCCACAAACUCCUUUAGAGCCCAGAGUGGUUCCCACUGAGUCAGUGGCAAAGAUUGAACUGUUAGAGCCGGACCCAAAGCUCGCUGGAGUCAAUGCAAAGAGUCUGCUUGGCUUCAGUCAGCUUUGGAUCCGUAUGGAAUGGAGACAAACCCCACACGGACCUGGAAGGGUUAAUGAGCUGCUGUCAGCCCAAUCAGCCCCCCUCCCUGCACCCACCCGUAGAGGGUGUCAGGCCAGAAGGGAGA